AGCCCCGUAGUGUAGUGGUCCAUCAUUCUGGCCUUUGGAGCCAGAGACCCAGGUUCGAAUCCUGGCGGGGCUACCA
rnacentral:tRNA from 1 species